UACGUAGGGUGCAAGCGUUGUCCGGAAUUAUUGGGCGUAAAGAGCUCGUAGGCGGUCUGUCACGUCGGCUGUGAAAACCCGAGGCCCAACCUCGGGCCUGCAGUCGAUACGGGCAAACUAGAGUACUGCAGGGGAGACUGGAAUUCCUGGUGUAGCGGUGAAAUGCGCAGAUAUCAGGAGGAACACCGGUGGCGAAGGCGGGUCUCUGGGCAGUAACUGACGCUGAGGAGCGAAAGCGUGGGGAGCGAACAGG
rnacentral:rRNA from 1 species